CUCGUUACUCGUAGAGUAAAAGGUUUAAUAGUCGCAUAUUUUUAAAAUUUAUUUCUAUAAGGUAGGAAUAUCCAGAUUUGUUUUUGGCCAAUGCCUCAGCUUGUCCGUUCCCAGGGAAUUGUCACUGAUCCGAUUCGUGAAGACCCACUUACAUAUCUGAUUUGUCAUUGUCCUGAUCGAAAGCCAGCAAAAACGGUGGCAUCAUAUUACACUUUGUCGCGGAACCUGCUCGUUUCCAUUAUAAGAUUGGUACUCGCUACAUUUGCGGACAUUACUUUGAUGAGUUUGGGGUAGAGCAGAGACGUGGCCACUUCGUUUUAGUAGAAGCCAAG